UACGGAGGGUGCAAGCGUUGUUCGGAAUCACUGGGCGUAAAGGGCGUGUAGGCGGUCCGCUAAGUCUGAUGUGAAAGCCCGGGGCUCACCCCCGGAAGGGCAUUGGAAACUGGCGGACUCGAGUCCCGGAGAGGAAGGUGGAAUUCCUGGUGUAGCGGUGAAAUGCGUAGAUAUCAGGAGGAAUACCGGUGGCGAAGGCGGCCUUCUGGACGGUGACUGACGCUGAGACGCGAAAGCGUGGGGAGCAAACAG
rnacentral:rRNA from 1 species